GCAGGCCUAACACAUGCAAGUCGAGCGGCAGCGACAACAUUGAACCUUCGGGGGAUUUGUUGGGCGGCGAGCGGCGGACGGGUGAGUAAUGCCUAGGAAAUUGCCCUGAUGUGGGGGAUAACCAUUGGAAACGAUGGCUAAUACCGCAUGAUGCCUACGGGCCAAAGAGGGGGACCUUCGGGCCUCUCGCGUCAGGAUAUGCCUAGGUGGGAUUAGCUAGUUGGUGAGGUAAGGGCUCACCAAGGCGACGAUCCCUAGCUGGUCUGAGAGGAUGAUCAGCCACACUGGAACUGAGACACGGUCCAGACUCCUACGGGAGGCAGCAGUGGGGAAUAUUGCACAAUGGGCGCAAGCCUGAUGCAGCCAUGCCGCGUGUAUGAAGAAGGCCUUCGGGUUGUAAAGUACUUUCAGUAGGGAGGAAGGUUCAUGCGUUAAUAGCGUAUGGAUUUGACGUUACCUACAGAAGAAGCACCGGCUAACUCCGUGCCAGCAGCCGCGGUAAUACGGAGGGUGCGAGCGUUAAUCGGAAUUACUGGGCGUAAAGCGCAUGCAGGUGGUUAGUUAAGUCAGAUGUGAAAGCCCGGGGCUCAACCUCGGAAUUGCAUUUGAAACUGGCUGACUAGAGUACUGUAGAGGGGGGUAGAAUUUCAGGUGUAGCGGUGAAAUGCGUAGAGAUCUGAAGGAAUACCGGUGGCGAAGGCGGCCCCCUGGACAGAUACUGACACUCAGAUGCGAAAGCGUGGGGAGCAAACAGGAUUAGAUACCCUGGUAGUCCACGCCGUAAACGAUGUCUACUUGGAGGUUGUGGCCUUGAGCCGUGGCUUUCGGAGCUAACGCGUUAAGUAGACCGCCUGGGGAGUACGGUCGCAAGAUUAAAACUCAAAUGAAUUGACGGGGGCCCGCACAAGCGGUGGAGCAUGUGGUUUAAUUCGAUGCAACGCGAAGAACCUUACCUACUCUUGACAUCCAUAGAACUUAGCAGAGAUGCUUUGGUGCCUUCGGGAACUAUGAGACAGGUGCUGCAUGGCUGUCGUCAGCUCGUGUUGUGAAAUGUUGGGUUAAGUCCCGCAACGAGCGCAACCCUUAUCCUUGUUUGCCAGCGAGUAAUGUCGGGAACUCCAGGGAGACUGCCGGUGAUAAACCGGAGGAAGGUGGGGACGACGUCCAGUCCUCAUGGCCCUUACGAGUUGGGCUACACACG
rnacentral:rRNA from 1 species